UACAGAGGGUGCAAGCGUUAAUCGGAAUUACUGGGCAUAAAGAGCACGUAGGUGGAUAAGUAUGUUGGAUGUAAAAUCCCUGAGCUUAACUUGGGAAUGCCAUUCAAAACUGCUUGUCUAGAGUAUAGUAGAGGGAAGUAGAAUUUCCGGUGUAGCGGUGAAAUGCGUAGAUAUCGGAAGGAAUACCAGUGGCGAAGGCGGCUUCCUGGACUAUUACUGACACUGAGGUGCGAAAGCGUGGGGAGCAAACAGG
rnacentral:misc_RNA from 1 species